rnacentral:lncRNA from 1 species
UAUAGUAUUUAUCUAGAUUAUAUACACAUGUUUUUGAGGAUAACAUUUUUGUUACACACCAAACACAAGAAAGUAAGUAAGAAAAUCACUUAUUUCCUAGGAAAGCAUUUUCCUUCGUGCCAAACACACCAUAAUCAUUGUUUUAUCCCUACAAAAAGCAAUCAUAGCAUAAGUGCAUGGACAUAUUCAUAGCAUUGCGAGAAACACCACACAGAACCCACUAAAACAAGCCUGAGGGUGGUUUUAAUAUAACUAAGCUCUGCAGGAAUUAGUAAUUUUUUACAUCAUGACUUAAGCAGACACAUCAUAGUAAAAGAUGGCUACA